GGUAAAAUGGCUGAGCAAGCAGUGGGUUGUAGCCCCAUACACAGAGGUUUGAGUCCUCUUUUUACCA
rnacentral:tRNA from 1 species